rnacentral:rRNA from 1 species
UACGUAGGGUGCAGGCGUUAAUCGGAAUUACUGGGCGUAAAGCGUGCGCAGGCGGUUUCUUAAGUCAGAUGUGAAAGCCCCGGGCUUAACCUGGGAACUGCGUUUGAAACUGGGAGACUUGAGUGUGGCAGAGGGGGGUGGAAUUCCACGUGUAGCAGUGAAAUGCGUAGAUAUGUGGAGGAACACCAGUGGCGAAGGCGACUCUUUGGUCUGUAACUGACGCUGAGGCGCGAAAGCGUGGGGAGCAAACAGG